CUAGUCACCGCACUUUGCCGUGUUUCUUUCAAUAUAAUAGUUUUGCUGCUACACAAACUCUGCUACCUGCUCAGACCUCUGCUCAGAAGCGCGCGUUUCUCUGUCCACUGGCGCUCGGCUUCUCUAUCUGCGCAAGCUGGAGUGACGACGUGAGGCGGGCGGGGAAGUCAUGCUGUAGAGGUGAAAUACGUCGUGGGAAAGAAGUUUGCGGUGCACGUGCGUAGAACCAUGCAGGCACAACACACCGGUGUGAGACAGCUGCUGAUGCUGAUCGUCUGUCUCUCCAUUUUCGCCUCAGGAGUUCUCGCAGGCGGGAAGAAGCAGAGCGGCCCGUGUGGAGGAAGAGACUGCAGCGGAGGAUGUCAGUGCUUCCCAGAGAAGGGUG